CAGAAAAUAGCAUAUGAAGUGUGUUUUGCUUACGUCAAAAAGGAGAAAUUUUUCUUUUCUGU
rnacentral:tRNA from 1 species